GACAGAAAGAAUAGUUAAAAAGCUGGUAACAAACUGUUUCUUGAUGGAGCAAUCUCGUGGAGGUUGAAGACUAUGGAGGGCCAAAAAAAUUUAAGUAACAGGAUGUGAAAGCACUGAGAACAGGGUCUCCACACCUCACAGUGUGAAAAGAUAUGGAAGCCAUUCAGUGCUUGCAGACCUCUGUUGUUUUUUUUUUGUUUGAAAGCCAAGCACUUUUGAGAAAUCAGGCUCAAAAAAACAGAUUCUUAAAUCUAAUUUAAACAGUGUUUAAAGCAGCAGAACAGUAACUAAUAAGGUCUCAAAAGCAUAUAGAUACCCAGCUCCUGUCUGAAAUCCCACAUAUGCAAACCCAGUGCUUUGGUGCUUAAAUACCUGUUGAAAACACAUCCAUAUAUAAGGCACAUCAAAUACAAACCUCAGACAGCAUGAUUGUCCAUCCCCUGAACAAACAUUUUUCCAUCCAGUAUGGGUUUCUAUGCCCGUGCAUUGUCUCCUAUUGUCUCUGUGCACCGUUUGCAGACACUGCGGCACCAUUUGGGCAAUCUCUAGUGGUCUUCUUCUCUGCCAGAAAAAUGCAAAAACUCUGAAGCAUCAAGAACCGUUUUCUGCUGAGGCUGCUAGAUAGAUUCUACCUUGCAAAUCCAACCCUGAAAAUCACAGUUACUCAGACAAAAUAUGGCAAGAGACUUGCACUUCCAUCAGCAGCUCAAAUGUCACUAAAGCCUGUUACUUUCAUGUGCUGAAGCAGUAAAACAGAUAAGAAAGGAACUUACAUAAAUUCUGGUGAGUACCAUCUUAAGAACAAUGUCCUGGGUGAUUGGGUCACCCACUCAUUUUCCAAUGGUUAAAAGAUACAGAAAUUAGACUUUUGGGAAUGGUGUUUUCAUGCAUUAGUUUGGUGGGUCAGACACACAGGCAAGGGGCGAAAAUUGAGUCAGAGUGAAUUGUUUCACUUCUCUAAAGAAGGCCUUUCCUUUUCCCUUAUAAGCCACAUUUUUGUUAGGAUAUAUGGACCUUGCCACUGCCCUCAACACCCUCCUGUACAGGUCCUUCACGGAGGAAGAGGGGAUAAAAUAUUUCAGGAUGAACCUUCCUGAUUAUCACCGGGAGGCCAAGCAUUUCC
rnacentral:lncRNA from 1 species